AACGAACGCUGGCGGCGCGUCUUAAACAUGCAAGUCGAACGGCAGGAAGGGGCUUGCCCCUUCUGAGAGUGGCGGACUGGUGAGUAACACGUGGGUGACAUACCUUUUAGUUGGGGAUAGCUAUUAGAAAUAGUAGGUAAUACCGAAUGUGACCGUACCUGUUAGAGGGUUACGAGGAAAGGAGCUAAGGCUUCGCUAAAAGAAUGGCUCGCGGCCCAUUAUGCUCGUUGGUGAGGUAACGGCCCACCAAGGCGAUGAUGGGUAUCCGGCCUGAGAGGGUGAACGGACACAUUGGGACUGAGAUACGGCCCAGACUUCUACGGGAGGCAGCAGUUAAGAAUAUUCCGCAAUGGACGAAAGUCUGACGGAGCGACGCCGCGUGGAUGAAGAAUGCCGAAAGGUUGUAAAAUCCUUUUAAGCCUGAUGAAUAAGCACAGUAGGGAAUGAUUGUGCGGUGACCGUAGGGCUUGAAUAAGCACCGGCUAAUUACGUG
rnacentral:rRNA from 1 species